GCGUGAGUACCCAGCCCUCUCAUACUACAAGGGACAGAAUGUCCCUCUUCAAAAAUCUUUCAGGAGAAGGUUCCCUCGCGGAGACAAUGACAGCAGUACUCCCGGGAAGGUUUUUGGAAACAGUGUUGACACCAGGAGAAGAGGCUCCUAGGAAGUGUCAGUGCGGCAGCAGGUGGAGUAGCCCUGCGUGCCGAGCAGGUCCUUUCUGACCUAGUCUCCAAGUCCUCCGCCUCCCUGUCCCGGUUCCGCCUUACGGACCUUUCCAAGGCGACUCGCGCCCCGGUUCUCUCACCCAGGGCAGGAUUCUCGAGCCUCCCGGGAAGGGAGCCCACCUAAGACGGCCGCCGCACCUCUUCCGGGGACUCGCAGGCCCGCUCCCCGGCAGUGUCGGAACCUGACGGACCCUACCGGGGAGGAGGCAGCCAGCUGCUCCCGGGGUCUGUCCGCGCCCCGGUUCCAGAGCCCCCUCCCUUUCGAGGCACCGCAGCCGUCAUCCGCCUCACUCCUGAACCCCUUCUCCUCCGGAGUACCCCAGCGGAGUUACCGGCCCACUCAAAAGUACCAGCGCCGGCCGCCCCCACCGGUCACCCCGGCCUCGCUGUCACCGCCCAGCUCCCGGCUUCGGCCCGCACCGCCGGCGUGCCCCCGGUGACGCUCGGGUCGGUACCUUGCGGACCCCCUUGUAGAUAUAGAAGUAGAGCUCCCGGCCCACAUUGAAGCAGAGGCGGUCGCCGUUGCCAGACUGGUCGUUGAGGUUUACGAAGGAGACGCGGACAGGGUUGGAUCCCUGCGAGUUGAAGGGCACCCGGUUGGGCCGGCUGUACUCCGAGUGCGGCAGCAGCUUGUACAGACCUUCCCGGGUGGUGAAUUGGGUCUUAAUCUCGUUCAUCUCCUUCCCUCCUCCCUCCGUCGCCAUCUUGGAAAGCAGCGUUCAUCCUGCCCUAAGUGCCCGGAUCACGCCCACCGCGCAGGCGCCGUCCACGGCCGCUCGUUCUCCACCCCCCACCCACUUCGUCGCGGCCCCGCCCAUUCGCGAGCCCGCCCCCACGAAGGCGGGCCGAGGCGAAGGGGGCGGGGUCGUUUACGGUCCCACUGCGCACGCGUGCUCACCUGGCGCGCUCCACCAGGCGGGGCGAGCGCAAGCCCCUCCCCUGGGUGCCGCCCUCUCCAUGCCUGUGGGAAAGCUCCGCUCGCGGAGCUCUGCUCAGGCGUUCCUUGGGUGAGGUGGCGCUGGAACAAGGGAUCUGAAAACAGGGGACUUAGUGAAUGCAAGCAAGUGAAUGGAGCACUCAGAUAUUAUUAAAGUGGAAGUGCGGAAGAAAAUGAAGCUCAAUAGCUGCCUGAGUGCUUGGUGUGGUUUGUGGAACAGAGGAACACUGACCCAGAUGAUAUUGUGGCUGCUGAUGCUCCCCUAGAGGAGUUAGAGUGAGAUUUACUGAACCUAUCUUCCUGAUCCUCCAAUGUUACAUCCUGCAGUCUGGGGAGGGAAGGAGAUUAUGGUGACUGUUGGUGAUUCUUAGCUUCUUGGUAGACCUGCUGCACUAAUUUCCCAGACCUCUGUGAAUUUUAAUUAUUCUGGAUCUGGCCAAGGAAUGCCUAUCUGUUUUUCCAAAAAUGAAUCUGUGACUGGGUGUUUGGCCAUUUAUCCACACUAUAUCUUGGGACUCAGAGAUCACCUUUGCCAGUGUAGUGUUCAUCUGCUGUUGCCCAGAGGAAAUAGAAGGCCUGGAGAAUAGCUGCCUCAGAGAUUUUCCCUCUGUGGGAAAGAGACUUGUUGGAGCAGUCAAACACUAUUAUGGAGGCGAUGUGUGCCUAAAGCCCCUCUUCAGUAUAAUAUCACUGGAAUUCAGAGAUAUGUGCUAGACUGGCCAGGAAACCAAUUGGAGAUACUGAAGAGAACCCCCGAACUGAUGAGGAGGAGUGGGGUAAAGGUUUUGCUGCUGGUUUUUGGUACUCAGGACUGGAGCAGCUCACACAUAUCUUUGGAAGUUGGUAUCAGCAAUGCAUUGGAUUUUAGGAGAGGGAAAAGAAAAGGUUCGGAAUUAGGGAGUUACUCAUACCUCACCUACCACAAAAACAUUUUCUUGUCCCUUGAUUGGAUCGAAGUUAUGAGAAUUGUAACCAA